rnacentral:rRNA from 2 species
ACGCUUGCGUCGGGGAUUAGUGGCGAACGGGUGAGUAACACGUGAGUUAACCUGCCCUUAACUCUGGGAUAAGCCUUGGAAACGGGGUCUAAUACUGGAUAUUGACUUUACCUCGCAUGGGGUUUGGUUGAAAGAUUUAUUGGUUUUGGAUGGACUCGCGGCCUAUCAGCUUGUUGGUGAGGUAAUGGCUCACCAAGGCGACGACGGGUAGCCGGCCUGAGAGGGUGACCGGCCACACUGGGACUGAGACACGGCCCAGACUCCUACGGGAGGCAGCAGUGGGGAAUAUUGCACAAUGGGCGAAAGCCUGAUGCAGCGACGCCGCGUGAGGGAUGACGGCCUUCGGGUUGUAAACCUCUUUCAGUAGGGAACAAGGCCAGCAUUUUUGUUGGUUGAGGGUACUUGCAGAAGAAGCGCCGGCUAACUACGUGCCAGCAGCCGCGGUAAUACGUAGGGCGCAAGCGUUAUCCGGAAUUAUUGGGCGUAAAGAGCUCGUAGGCGGUUUGUCGCGUCUGCCGUGAAAGUCCGGGGCUCAACCCCGGAUCUGCGGUGGGUACGGGCAGACUAGAGUGAUGUAGGGGAGACUGGAAUUCCUGGUGUAGCGGUGAAAUGCGCAGAUAUCAGGAGGAACACCGAUGGCGAAGGCAGGUCUCUGGGCAUUAACUGACGCUGAGGAGCGAAAGCAUGGGGAGCGAACAGGAUUAGAUACCCUGGUAGUCCAUGCCGUAAACGUUGGGCACUAGGUGUGGGGGACAUUCCACGUUUUCCGCGCCGUAGCUAACGCAUUAAGUGCCCCGCCUGGGGAGUACGGCCGCAAGGCUAAAACUCAAAGGAAUUGACGGGGGCCCGCACAAGCGGCGGAGCAUGCGGAUUAAUUCGAUGCAACGCGAAGAACCUUACCAAGGCUUGACAUGAACCGGUAAUACCUGGAAACAGGUGCCCCGCUUGCGGUCGGUUUACAGGUGGUGCAUGGUUGUCGUCAGCUCGUGUCGUGAGAUGUUGGGUUAAGUCCCGCAACGAGCGCAACCCUCGUUCUAUGUUGCCAGCACGUAAUGGUGGGGACUCAUAGGAGACUGCCGGGGUCAACUCGGAGGAAGGUGAGGACGACGUCAAAUCAUCAUGCCCCUUAUGUCUUGGGCUUCACGCAUGCUACAAUGGCCGGUACAAUGGGUUGCGAUACUGUGAGGUGGAGCUAAUCCCAAAAAGCCGGUCUCAGUUCGGAUUGGGGUCUGCAACUCGACCCCAUGAAGUCGGAGUCGCUAGUAAUCGCAGAUCAGCAACGCUGCGGUGAAUACGUUCCCGGGCCUUGUACACACCGCCCGUCAAGUCACGAAAGUUGGUAACACCUAGAAGCCGGUG